GGUUAACUGCAGACCGUUUGCCCACGUGUCACGAGCCUGAAACCAGGGGCGAAUUCUGUCACAGGUUGUCACCAAACGGCAACGUUUUCCCGGAACUUGCUUGGGAUUCCGUUUCAAAUCUGUAAUAGAUUGUCGCCAGAUGGCAAAGUUUUCGGUAGAUUUGCCCAGAUAGGGUACUUGUACAACGUGGAGACGUACCAUUGAGAAAGAACACAAGGAUGACUUUGGACCUGAUGAGAAACAUUGAAGACCAGCGCACAGAACCACCAGCAUCCAGCUGUGCGGUCUAGAGAAAGACUUGCUGACUUUGCCUGAGGGGACAGGCUGACCGUCAGCUGCACCCGAGUUUACUAGCACCUGCAGGGUGGUUCUCUACCAGAUUUCUUCUGUGAACUCAGGUCUUUGAAUUUAACCCUUUGGGAAGAUUUGUGUAGUAUGAGUCUUUGGUAUCUUGAAAAUUUCACAGGAGAGAGGAAGAAAGUUCCAACUAUUCCAGAAGCCACUGGUAUAAAUCAUGCUGCUCCUGUGAGGUCAACCAAUCAAGAGUUGUGAGGCUCUUAUAUAAGUCAGAAAUCUAAUAACAGGAAUAUGAAUGAAGUCACUUAAAUGCAUGCAGCCAAGUUAAAAUAAUUUGAAUAUAGUUCUAGGAAAAUACUACAGUUUAGGUUUGGCCCUCUUCCAGAGCACAACUCCCCCAGCCAUCCCCAGCUCUGGUACUAAGUUUCACAGACACUGAAUGUCCUGCACCCUGAAUGGAAUCAAAGAGUAAAAUGAACUCAACAAAUGAAUGAUACAGCAGAAGGUAGACA